CGGGGAGUAGCGCAGCUUGGUAGCGCGCUUCGUUCGGGUCGAAGAGGACGGAGGUUCGAAUCCUCUCUCCCCGACCA
rnacentral:tRNA from 1 species